rnacentral:rRNA from 1 species
CCUACGGGGGGCAGCAGUGAGGAAUAUUGGUCAAUGGGCGCAAGUCUGAACCAGCCAAGCCGCGUGAGGGAUGAAGGUUCUAUGGAUGGUAAACUGCUUUUGUACGGGAGUAAAGUCAGAGACGUGUAUCGCAUUGAAAGUAUCGUACGAAUAAGGAUCGGCUAACUCCGUGCCAGCAGCCGCGGUAAUACGGAGGAUUCGAGCGUUAUCCGGAUUUAUUGGGUUUAAAGGGUGCGUAGGCGGUCUGUUAAGUUAGCGGUGAAAGCCCGGGGCUCAACUCUGGAACUGCCUUUGAUACUGGGGGGCUAGAGUUUAUUUGAGGCAGGCGGAAUGCAUGGUGUAGCGGUGAAAUGCAUAGAUAUCAUACAGAACACCGAUUGCGAAGGCAGCUUACCAAACCACGACUGACGCUGAGGCACGAAAGCGUGGGGAGCAAACAGGAUUAGAUACCCGAGUAGUC